GACGAACGCUGGCGGCGUGCUUAACACAUGCCAGUCGAACGGUGAAGGGAUCAGCUUGCUGGUUCUGGAUGAGUGGCGAACGGGUGAGUAACACGUGAGUAACCUGCCCCCUUCUUCUGGAUAACCGCAUGAAAGUGUGGCUAAUACGGGAUAUUCUGGGUCUGUCGCAUGAUGGGUCUGGGAAAGAUAUUGUUUCGGUGGGGGAUGGGCUCGCGGCCUAUCAGCUUGUUGGUGGGGUGAUGGCCUACCAAGGCGGUGACGGGUAGCCGGCCUGAGAGGGUGGACGGUCACACUGGGACUGAGACACGGCCCAGACUCCUACGGGAGGCAGCAGUGGGGAAUAUUGCACAAUGGGCGCAAGCCUGAUGCAGCGACGCCGCGUGAGGGAUGGAGGCCUUCGGGUUGUAAACCUCUUUCGCCAGUGAAGCAGGCCUGCUCCUUGUGGGUGGGUUGACGGUAGCUGGAGAAGAAGCGCCGGCUAACUACGUG
rnacentral:rRNA from 1 species